rnacentral:rRNA from 1 species
GUCCACGCCGUAAACGAUGGGUACUAGGCGUCGGGGGAGCGACCCCCUCGGUGCCGUCGCUAACGCAGUAAGUACCCCGCCUGGGGAGUACGGUCGCAAGACUGAAACUCAAAGGAAUUGACGGGGGCCCGCACAAGCGGUGGAGCAUGUGGUUUAAUUCGAAGCAACGCGAAGAACCUUACCUGGGCUUGACAUGCACGGGAAAGCCGGUGGAAACAUCGGCCCCUUUUCGGAGCUCGUGCACAGGUGCUGCAUGGCUGUCGU